UUUCUAUAUACCUUUUUCCUGGAACAAAACUGUGAACUGGAGUUGCUUGAAUAAAUGCUCGACUUGGCUGUCCAGAAGAGAGAUGGAUGAGAUGACCAGCAAACCUUUGAGACAUCCCAGUAGCACCCACAGAUUCCUAACACUGGAAGAAGGCACUUUCUGGAGGAGAGUGGUCCACCAAACUUUAUUUAAAGUCUGCUGAGGAGCCUUCGAGCAUCCUGACAUGUCACAUGUUCCAACUUUAAGGAUGGACUUGGUUUGUUGAGUCUCCAAUUACUCCAUGGGGAGAAUACACCACACACAUUCUUUUGCAGUUGCAUGAGCAGACCAGACAAGAUGGUGGAUGAGCCAUCUUUGGUGGAGGCCAGGGCUUGGUUACUGACCAAACCCUUCAACCUUGGCUGAUCACAACAGGGGUUUAGCUCGUCUCCACGUACUAGAGGCAGAGAAGGCAGCUGCCACCCCUAAAGCCAGGCUGGUAGAGCUUUGGCCCUGGAUGGGGUAACAAAGUACUUUCAUUUGGCCCAGACAGAAGCUUAACAACUACUUCUGAAAGAAUCCUCCAACUUUGAAGACCACUGAAAUAUACACUGUCUCACAAAAAGAUAUUAGUAGAUUGUAUAUUCUUCCGCCACAGAACUCAACAUGCCAGACCUUCUUUGUUGUAGAAUGCUUUGCCUGGGUUUUAGUGCUUACCUUCCCCCACUGCCCCCCACUCCAUGUGAAAGUUUGAUUAUAGUUGUUUAAUUAACUAUAAAUGCUCUUGUAUCAAAGUACCAUGUUCAGUGAUGCACAAAAUAAUGGUUUUGAGAAAGGCAGCCUGUAAAAAAUUCUUAUAUUCAUUUGGGACUAUAUUCUAAUGGGGAAGCAUACAAUUUCUCAACUGUUGCACCUCAGCUGACUGUAGUAACAUCUUUAUCUGAGACAGAGUAUAGUCCAUUCAAGGCUGCCCCCACAGUAUAGAACAUGCCUGUCUUCUCCUUGAAACAUUUCCAGGGAAUACAUUGUUUAUUUACUUCAUUUAUUUACAAAAAUUAUACCUGCCUUUCUGCCCUCAUUAGGGCCUUCAGGGCUACCAAAUUAAAAACAAACGUCAUUAAAAAUACCUUCAAAAUGUUAAAACUAAACAAACAAGUCAUCAAAAUAAUUAAAAUCAAGCUAAAAUACACAGAUGAAAACAUAAAAACAACCAUUAAAACAUAGUGCAAGGAAAAGGGAUCACUCUGGCAAUGCUAGAUGAAACAAAAACAUCUUUACCCGCUGACAGAAGGCAGCAGAAGGGGAAAAGCGAGUCUGUCUAUAGAGAGAGUUGCAGACUUCUGUUGUCAACAGUGAGAUGGCACUCUCCCACGUUGCCACCCACCUCUUCUCAGAAGGUGGACACACCUGAAGCAGGGCCUCUGAAGACACAGUGAUUGGGUAGGUUUGUAAGGGUGUUUGCCACCUUUCAGGUAUCUUAGUCCCAAGCCCUGUAGGGCUUUACAGCUCCAUACUAUAAAUGCUCUUGUAUCAAAGUCACCAAUCAGAAAUAGUAAUGCUUUCAGAACUCUGGACUCUAAAAAUUACAGAAUAUUCAGAAAUGGCAAAUCUGAUGACCCUAGUAGUAAGAGACAACAGUUUGGACAUUUUUUUUAGAAAACUGGAAACCUUUUAUGGAACGUGUUUUGAAAACCUAUCCAAAUAGAGAAGUAGUGGCAGGGUUUGAAAUCUAAAGAAAACAGUAGAUCGUGAACACUAGAAUGUAUUUAAGGAAUAGCUAUUGAACUAAUGUUAUAAUUAUAUGCAUGAAUCUAGAGUUAACUUUCAAUCAAAAACAAGAUAGCUAGAAGUCAAUAUAUAGUGUAAUGGGUUGUUUUUCCUUUAUGUUGUAUGUUUUGUUUGUGGUAGAUGUGAGAACAUUUUUUAAAAUUAUAAUGAGAAAAAGAUA